GGGGUUUGGGGGCAGGGUUUUGGCCAAAUUGGGCGAGGGCACAAAGUAACCACUUACCCCUUCUCACCGAGGAGGAACGGGAGAAAGGGUAUGGCACUGUCUCAAGGCUGGGUGAAGAGAUACUUCAAGGCCUUUUGUAAAGGCUUCUUUGUGGCAGUGCCUGUGGCAGUGACUUUCCUGGAUCGGGUUGCCUGUGUGGCAAGAGUGGAAGGAGCAUCAAUGCAGCCUUCUUUGAAUCCUGGGGGGAGUCAGUCAUCUGAUGUGGUGCUUUUGAACCACUGGAAAGUGAGGAAUUUUGAAGUACAACGUGGUGACAUUGUGUCAUUAGUUCUCUAGAUAAGGGCCCAGACCAGCCGGCAGCUUGAUUUUGGCCUUCUGAGACGCUAAGCAGAGUACCCAGCCGAACCUGCCAGACUUCAGUCCUGGAGAACGAUGCAUUUCCCACCAGUCAACACUCUGUGCACUUGUUCUUAGAAAAGAAAUGAUCCUAGAUCCCAUAUUCUGUUUCAUAGCUUAGGUUCCAGAAAUGUGGAAGAAAUCUCAAAAUGAGACUUAAAUAUCACCUUGUUUGAUCUAAGGUCAGUCGCUACCUUGCCACUUUUUUUUUUUUUUCCCUUUUACAAGGAAGAAAAGGCACUGUUUUGGAGAGGGGGUGGUAGUUGUUGGGAAAUGUGUCUAUGGCUGAUAAGCAAAGGAAAGGGCUUAAAGAUAGCCACCAAACUUUAUCAGUAUUUUGGAGUUAAGGAAAACAUUCUUUCCAAGAAGAACAGGAAUACUUUUUUUUUUUUUCGGUAAUUGUUUAUUUACAUUAAUGAGAUGCCUCAAUGACCCAUUAUUAUGAAAGGUAACUCCAUAAUCUAGUGACAGGUUUACUCACAUUUGGAGGUCACAUUGAUAUUUACUGAAGGCACAAUAAGUAUAGGUUUCACUUUAUUAAAAAUUGUAUAGCUCUUGAAAUUGCUGACAGAGAGGCUGACUCUGUUUGAUUUGGCUACGGAUAUGAUAAUUGUAAUAUGGCUCACUGUGGUUUUUAGAGGUCAUAAGUUACAUUGCAAAGAUUUGUGUAUUUGGAUUGCAGGAAAGUUACCAUAGAGUACUAAGACAAUACAAUAGGAAAUACUUAAGUGUGAGUAGUAUGUCUCACAUAAAUUGUACCCUAGAAUUAAAUAUGAAUCAUUAAAAUAUUCCAGGUUUAUUAAAAAUUUAUUAUUCUACUAAAGGAUCUUUAAAGAGCAGUAAGAACUUGAAGAAAUAAUAGGAAAGCUUUGCUAACAGUGACAGUGUGUCGAGUUGAAAGAAGGUAAAGAAUUUAUUAACAAAAUGCAUACAAAAAAGAUUUGUAGUAAAUCAAGGGGGGAAAUCAGUUAAUAAAGAGGCCAGGGAGACCUUCAAGAUGGCGGAAGAGUAAGACGUGGAGAUCACCUUCCUCCCCACAAAUACAUCAGAAAUACAUCUACAUGUGGAACAACUCCUACAGAACACGUACUGAAGGCUGGCAGAAGACCUCAGACCUCCCCAAAGGCAAGAAACUCCCCACGUACCUGGGUAGGGCAUAAGAAAAAAGAAAAAACAGAGACAAAGGAACAGGGAGGUACCUGCACUUCUGGGAGGGAGCUGUGAAGGAGGAAAGGUUUCCACACACUAGGAAG